rnacentral:lncRNA from 1 species
UUGAGUGUGGUAACGCAGACAUCUGCUUCCUGAACUCUCUCUGUGAACCUUGUCCUGCCUUCUGACCGUUUAAGGGUCGUGUUGGGAAAGCACCUGGUAAUAUUACACAGCAUCUUCUUUCCUUCAUGACGCAGGACGCUGUUUAAUGUGAACUUACGGACCAGCCUCCAGCUUCCUAUCUACGAGGAGGAGGCUUCAGUUUGUCUUUAAAAAAAAUUGUUGGAAAUUUGAUGCAGGAUCCAAAUAUCUACUGUCGGAAACAGAACUUCAUAGUACGUGAAAUAUCUGCGUAGUAAUCACCCCUACAGAAACCAUUUUACCAGACAGUGAUAGAUUGAUUGCAGAAAAUAAUUAGUGCCAGUCUUUUCGCAAAGCAAUUUUUGGAACUUGUUUGAUAAUUUCUUAUCAAUUUCACUUGAGAAAUAAGAGCGUAGAAUUUUUAAUUUGUCGCAAAU